AAAGGAAAAAAAAAAAAAAAAAGAAAUUAAUAGGACCAUCAGAAGCAUCAGUGGAAUAAACUACAAACAGACUGUCUCCUUCCUUUUGAAAGCUUCUCUUCUUUGUAUACUGUCAGCUAGCAGCAUUUCUAUCCCAGAAAAAGGCUGCUUGAACUUGACUAAGAUCUUCAACCUAGACCUUUGUGAACUUCUGAAAACACUUCUUGGCUGCCAGGAUGGGUUUUGUGUGGUAGAGAUGGAGAGAAUUUUAGAUACCUCUUCUAUUUAUUUAUUCUACUGAAAACAUUUAGGCCAUUAGUCAAACCUCACUGAUGGUCUUUGUACCUUUCUUGUAUUUAGACUAACCCCUUUUGUACACCUCCUUUCCUGUAGCUGGGGAAAUACUGCACUCCCCAGGAGUGUCCCAGCAGCAAACAAGCCAACGAAAGUGCUAAUAAUCCCUCCUGGCUUGGUGUAUCCUCUUGCUUAGCCAGUUGCAGAUCACCUUGGGGAUACAACCUCUCUUCUAACCCGUUCUCUUUCCUGCCCUGUAGGCUCAUGCCUGGAGCUUGCUGUCAGCAUCACCACAUGACUUCAAAGCCCAUCACAUCAGCCUCCAAGGUGGGGAUAUCACUUCCUCAGCUGACUACUAACAACAUGAAUCACGUGUUGCUUUGUUCUAGCAUUACGCUAAUAAUACACUGUCCAUAUUGCAGGAAAUGCUUUGACUCAGGGGUCUAUUGUGUAAAUACAGACAGAAGAAUGCAGCGUGAGCACUGGGCUGUUCACAACAAAGACACAACAGAGACAGAGAAGAGAGCUACAGACUCUGCAAGCUGGGUGUGCUCUCACCAGACGCUCAGCUGGGAGCACUCUGGACAGUCCUAAGAUAUAUACCAUGUUCACCUGCCCUGCUGUGCUGCUUCUGCCUUUCAGUGCCAGUGGGGAAAACCCCACAUGAGAAACGAAACUCCUAUUUUAUUUUCUUCUGGAAAGCAGCUGAGGGCUAAAAAAAGGAGCAAAGGAAGAGACUGAUUGCCUGAUGCACCUGCAGUGUUGAUGAGCUGUGUCCAGGGAUGUUUUAGGAUGCCUGCUUCCUCCUGCAGCUAAGGCAGUGCAAAAUCCGGAGUGCACAGCCUGCUGCAGGGGUUCACUCUCAAUCUUAUCGUUUCUUUGAUCAAGCAAGAUUUCAUCCCUUAGUAUCAUGACAUCCUACUACUCGUGGCCAAAACACAGAGGCCUCAUACACUGCAAGAAGUCAUGGGGAAAAUUUAGAGGCAUCAGAGCUGGGUUCACACUGCAGAGCCCAUCACAAUCUGAAUAUCCAUGCUAUGGUUGCUUAUCUUAUGCAAGGACUCCAUGCUCCAGAAACCUGAAAAAGAACUGUUGGCCUUUUUUCCCAAAUCACUUGGCCCUAUUUCUGCUUCCUAUUUUGUGGGACUCCAUUGCCAUGACACAAAAACAGCGUCCAUCUUCCUCUGAUGCAGUGUAUUUUGGUGCAGACACCUGGAAUGGCUAGAGGCUCUACAGCAAAUGACUCCAUGCUUACAGUGCUUAGUUAAUAAAGCCUAAACUCAUCAAAAUUCAGCAGGUUUUACACACAUAAGUGAAAGGAAUUGGAGGAAGCUGGAAGGCAGAGGCAGAGGCAGUGGAGGGCAUCUUCACAUGCAGUGUCUAAAAAGGGAACGUGAUCUCUGAAGCAGCAAGACCAUAAAUAAAGGGCAUCCUGAGAAGAUAGUGCUUUCAAAAUUGUUCUCACAUCUGAUGGAAAGUUCCCCAGCAUAUCAGCAGUUUCUCAGCAGCAAGUUGCAGAUGACAGCACUUCUGGCAGGAUCUCCCCUACCCCACCGGCCGUGGAGCAUCCCUGCUACACCAGAACGAGCCUGUGAUCUCCAGUCAGGAAGACUAACUUCCAAAGAGAAAGAGAAAAAGAAUUUGCAGCUUCAACAGUGCUCCGGGUUCCCGUAACAGUGUCAGGUAAGGUAGGUAACUUUGUAUCCCUGAAGACAGAGGUCUAUGCUGAAAGACACCAUUCAAGUUCAGCUUUGUUGGCAAAGGACAGAGGCACUGUUGGAAGCAUACAGGAGAGUAUUUGGGUUAAUAAACACAGGAAGUUUCAUUUAAUACCCCAUAUUAAAAUAAAAACACCUGCUAGGAUGUUACCAUUACAGUCACAGCUUGCCCUCCCCUGUGCACAUGCAUGAUGAGACAGGUUUUAAUUACAUUUGUCAUUUUCCCCAGGAACCUUGCCUUACUGAAUGUAAGAUAUGCACUUGUGCAGAAAGAUUAUGUUUGCUUGGUAACCUUGAAAUUAUAAUUUCCUACUAUCUGAAUGUGAAUUUUCCAAGCCCAACCAGCGUUAUUUUAAAAUAAUGGUUUGUAUUAUUUCCACUCUAGUAACAAUUAAGGAAUUUUUAAUGCAUAAGGGUCAGAUUCCGGUCUCAGUUACUCACUCCUAACUCUGGAAUUUAGGGAGUUAGAGUCCUCACAUAAGAAUAACCUGAUAGACCUAGAAGGGCUGCAGGCUUCUCAGCAUUAACACUUUAUUCCUUUACAACUUCUACGAGUAUACUUCAAAUUAUGUUAUUUCAAAACAUGCCCUUGCCUAUUACUGACCACUGCGGCUCAGGGGAGCCCCUGUGCUGGCUGUGACCAACACAAGUGCCCACGAGGGACACCAUUUGCAGAGAUGGAGGUCCCCACGUGGCUGAGGUCCAGGCAGCACAUCCUGCUGGGAUGGUGUGGUGCUGGAGGUAUUUGGGAGAAAUCUUCCAAGAAAUGCUGAGGUGACUGAAGGGUGAGGCUGGGGGGUUUCCCUCUGUUCGGACAUGUGGCUGGAACCUAGGAAGAGGGGAUGGGACAACUUGCCAUCUGGAGGACAAGUCACAGCUAGUAUUGGGAGGCCAUGUACCAACAUGAGUGGAGGCUGUGGCUUGAGGAAAGCCAAGCACAUAAUCCAUGACUGGACUUGCCUGUACCUCAGGGAAGAGAACACUGUUGCUUGGCUGGGUGGGUAAAUUGCAUCAAACCACCCAUCUCCUUUGCGUGUGAGUCUCAGAGACAGAACUUGAGAUGUGGCUGUGCUGUGGUGUUGGAAAAUGAAGUACUUGCUGCAGGUGACAAGGUCCUUUUUGUUAACGUAUGCGAUUUUUAUGGCUUUAAGCUGGGUUUCACCAUUUUGUCACAAAUGCUAUUGCAUUUUUCUUACUUGUUUUCUUCUACUGCUAAUUUACUCUCGGCUGACAUGCAGUCCGGAAAACAUCUUGAAUACAAUGACAAAACAAUGUUUACAAGUUUUGAAUUUUUGAACUGAGCAUAAUUCAGGGCAAUUUCUCAACUCCUAUGAUUACCAAGUUAUUUAGAGUCUUUAAAAAAUAGUUUAAAUUGCUGUAAAGCCACUAUGCCAGUAGUAGUGAAAUUACUGUCAAACUACCAUUUAUAAAUUAUCUGCAUCCAACCAAGUCCAACAAAACCCUCCACAGCUAAGGCAGACUCUGAGGAAGUUGUGUCCAGGCUCUCACCAAGAGAUGUACACCCAUAAUCUUUAAACGGAACCUGGCACUGGCACACACAGCUCUCUGGAGGUUUGGGCUUGGAUAUCCAGCUCCCUGCUAGGGAUGCAUAGCUAUACAAUAUUCCUUUUUGUUUUGUCCGUUCUUACUCUGCUCCAGUUUGUAAUAUUGCUCAUUUCCUUUGUAAUAUUGCUCAUUUCCAUGUUGCUGUUGUUCAGCAUGACAGGUGAUGCUAUCACACAGGUACUGCAACCAUGCUGUGGUUUGGUAUUGGUGUAAGACUUCUUGAGAGGUGAGGCUGGCCGAUGAGGAAAUACAGCUACAGGAGAAGUGGCAGACCUGAAGAAGUGAUGCUGGGUAAUAAAGACAGGGGAAAAGUUCCCAAUGUGUAAAAUAUAUGCAGGACGUAUAUAUAUGUAUAGAUACAGCCCCCAAGCAAUAUCUGCAAAUUAGUUAUUCAUGACUCGCCGAGAGCCCAGGGAUCCCUGCUGGGAGGUCUCUUCUCACAGCUCUCUGCUAUGCACUGGGAGAUGCUAAUGAUUCACGUCUGUAUAAACCAAUAUUCAUGAUGAUGUGCGACCUGGGGACCAUCUAUGCUGCAUCUAUGCUGCUCCUCAGCCAGCCUGUGCUGACUGCUGCAGGCAUGUAAACAAGCCAGAAAUUUACAACUAGCUCCUCCAUCCAAGAACAGGCUGCAUCCACAGAGGUACAUCUAUACAUGUAAGCCACAACCCUGAUUUUCUUUCACAUUUCGGAGCCAGUUUUCUGUAUCUACAUCACAAGUGGGUUCAUUCCUGAACAAACGUGUGCUUUCGACAGAGUCGCUCUGAGGGAGAUGACAAGCUUCUCUAUGCACCAAAUCACAAAGGGGCAUAACAAGAAGCAGUGGACUUGAGAUAGGAUGAAGAAAAUCCAGCUGUCACAGGGAGAGAGGCAUCUUACUCUUAAGGUAUAGAAAAGUAUCAGAAGCUUGCUGCUUUGAAAUGCUAAAGCUGCACAAAGUGCACCUUUCAGAAGUCUCACAUUGGCCCCAGGAAACAAUGUGGAGUAUGUUCUUCUCUUUGCAAGCCCCCUAAAUCAGCCCACGCAGAUAAUGAGCGUACAACCUCUGCCACCCGAGAGCUGUGCGCCAGCUCGCUGUGGAGCUAUGGCUCACACCCAUUGGGCUGUAAAAUGCUGCUUUCCAGGAAAAGUGUUUGAAAAAUAAUACCCCAGUUAUUUCACCGAGCAACACUUGAGCACGACCAUGCACGCUGGCCAAAAAAAGCUGGGCUGUUGUCCUCCACCCAUCCCUCCCAUUGGCCUUGGCUGGCUGAGUACUGUGUAUCCAGGCCUGAGCCGCUUCUCCUGGCUUUUGGCAUUGUCCGUCAUGGAUCCUGCCUUGGUUCUGCCUUACUAUGACAACAGACCCUACCCCACUGUGUGUCAGUAAGCAUUUAUGUGGCUUUGGUGCUGUGUAUUAUGAUGCCACUGUGAUGGCAUUUGGCUCAUUUUCUCAUUCCCCAGCAAAUGUGGCUCUUUGCAAGGCACUGCCAGUCCUCUGUGCAGUCUGAGUCACAGAGGGCGCUGCUUCGGCCUGGGGCUGGACCACAAUUAGGACACAGAAUAUGUACCUGCAACAGGCUCCACUGCGGAGCAGCUGGGAAAGCCUGACUUUGUGCUUAUCCAAAAAGGGUAGGCCUUAAGGAGAGAAGCCCGUGUGUGCACAGAUCCCAGCCAGAGGCAGCCAAUUUUCCCCAGGUCUCAACACCUCAUCAGCUUUUGCUAAACCAUGGAGAAAUGCAGCCAUGCUGGGCAACUCCUGGCCACAAACCCGUGAGCUGACUGCAAGGCCACCAUCCUCCGGGUGCUCCCACCCUUGCUCAGACGGUGCAACACAGAACCAUGCAAUCAUAGACUGGUUUGGGUUGGAAAGAGACAGAUGAGAUGGAAAGGGGCCGGCCAGCCAUCCCUUUUUACUCCGCAGGGUUGUUUAGAUAGGAGGGCUGGCUGGGACAGCCCUGAGAAGGUGAGUGCGCAGUGCUUUGCCUCCACCUCUGCUCCCCUGGAGGAGCAAACCUGCUCCUGGGAAGAGUCGCUUACCUUUCGUUAAGAAAUGCACUGGCUCAUACAUGUCCCAGGUUGCUCCUGAAUAAAAUUCUGAGAAAAAGCAUUUGUUUACAGAGGGUGGCAAAGAGUCACUGAACCAGCCAAUCUACCUACCUGAAAUACUGUGUUAGUGCAACAUAUUUGUGCAAGUGGGUAUUAAUAAGAGGGCUUAUGCUUGUGUUGGAGGUGUCAUGAGUCAAGCAUCCAAGGCAGAUGGCUCUUGAACAGGCUCCACUUGCUGCGGGAAAUUCAGGGUGAUAGAUGAACGCUCCUCCCUGCAGGUGGAGACAAGGCCGUAGAGGCUGCAUCUAAAAUUGACUUUGAUAACGCCUAAUAAAUCACCCAGCAGAGGAAGGUACACGAUUCGCCUUUGGGAGAGUGCUGAUAAUGGGCUGUUUGGCUGCAUCAGGCUUAUGCCAUGCCCCGAGCCUGGCCAGGCCUUGCGGCGUUUUCUUGCAGCCUUUUCUUGCAGCUGCUGGCACUCCUCAGCACUCAGGGCCUCCGCUUCUCUGACAAGGGUGGUGCAGUGAAACUCGCCUCGUGCUCGGCUGUCCAGCCAGACCUGUUUGAGAGCAGUCAAAACACCUGGAUUCGUCUGCCAGGAGAGCCUCCAUCGUUCAGCACAAGCCAGAAGUAACAGGGCUUGGCCUGAACGCUUCACACCUGCAGAGGGACAAUCCUCCCUGCUCAGCCACUUGUGCCAGGGCAAUGGGCCCCAGGCAGCUACUGCAGCCCAGGGGAAAGGAGUCUCUUCAGCUCCUCCUGCAAACCAACUUUGUUGGCUUUUCUCCUCCCUCCCUGCACCACAGCAGCCUCAGCACAUGGGGAGUUGAGCCUCCCCAUGGCUCAACUGCAUCACCCCCCCUUUAAGCAAAGUAAGCUCCAGCCAUGCUUCCCAGCUUUGCUCCAGUGGACCGAAAUAGUCAAGAGCUAGAAAUACUUGUCUUCUUUUUCUUUCUUCUUUUUCUUUCUUUAAGAGAGAGCUAUGGCUACUUGCCAUAAAAAUACAAUUAAAAUUUUGGCACGGGCCCUUGCAGUCCUUGGGUGGUGAGCUCAGAUAUAUUGCCGCAUGAGUUCUUGGCAUCAGAAAAGCACCCUUUGGUGGAGACACAGGGGAGCAGGCAGCGGCUGAGGAUUAAUCAAACUGGCAUCUAAAAAGGGCACCCCCUACACAGCUGCAUGCAGAAAUGAGAACCACAACAAAAAGUUUUGUUUCCAAGCCGAAAUCCUGCCUGACUUGCAGCCAGGUCAAAAUUCAGCCUAAUCUCCAGAUUAACCACGGGGGGGGGAUGAAAACCUGUCAGCACUGAGGUUAAAAUCUUCCAUACAAGCAUGUUCCCCAGGAUGCAGUGAGAAGGCAGCAAAUAUGGAGCAGCAGGCUCCCUGCAGCUGCUGGCACGUGCCGCCUGGCAGCAGGGCAGCCUUUGCCUGCAGGGUCAACUUCUCUCAGGGGAAACCACAGCUUGAAUCCCCGCAGCCAGGCAGCACGCCUGGGCACGGCACGGACACUGCACAGCCACCCAGCUGAGGGACGUUUUGCCUCAAGGGGCUGGGGAGCCACGUGAGCAGGGCUCACCGUGUCCUGGGAGUGUCAGCAUGUGAGACUGCAGAUGUGGCUCUCAAGGUCUCUUUCCUGAUGCUCUGCGAGUGUGGUUUUUCCACCACAGGCUGCUGUCUGUCUCUAGCCUAGGACACUGCUCAAGCCCCUACUGCCCAAUGUUUUCCUUUAGCUAUGCUGUGAUGGGAGAGAGUUCUGAAGGGGGUUGUCCUGGACAGGUUGUAGGAGAAGACUGAACACACAACCUAUGAAAGACAGUUAAAUAAAUGACUCUGGAAGUUAAAAGAGAUGAGGAGCAUUAGACAAGCUUUGUGGCAUUCUCCAGACGACAGCAAAAGAGCUACUACCAUGAAUCCUUGCAGAACAGUCAGGGAGGGGAGACCCGCAGUAGCAGGCAAAGCUGGCAGGUAGGGCAGGAGAUGCCAAACUGCUGCUCACAGAGAAAUAACAAUGCCUGUGUACAACACAAAUACAACAGCAGUCUCAUCUCGUCUUCAGUUCUUUAAUGAAGAAAUUAAGAAACGCUGGAUGCUGAGCAGUCACACUGGCUGUGCUCACAGGGCUGCUUUCAAAGCCAGUUUGGCUCAUCAACCGGUGUGACCCAAGAGUUCUCCAACAUUGUAGCUCUCUGCUGCUAUACCUAUGAGUUAAAAAAUGGAUCUGCAAACACCUGUAAAGUAGCGAGGGGGAAAGCCACCAACAGGAAACCAGAGUCUCACCUUCAACAGACUCCUGCAGGAAGCCUUAGAAAUGUGAGGGAAUGGAGCCAUAGCAGCCUAAAGCAGAGGCAGGUGGUUCUGGAGCCAAAGAAAUCCUGUCCAGCACAUGAGGGCACUGCCUGUGCCACGCACUGCAUCAGGAGAACACUCUUGGUCUUUGCCUUUUUAACCACAACAUUGCCCAAAGCUAUACUAAGACGCUGGACCACAGUGUUCCCUCCAGCAAAUAAGGAAGUUACAGCAUCCAUAAAGGUAUCUCCUGUACCAAACAGGAGAGAUUGGGCUAACUUAGCUAACUGCUGUCAACAGGCAGUUGACAACAGCAUCUCUGGGACCUGCUUCUACUACGCAGGACCUGCCACUAUCAGCAGGGAGCCCUGACACCAGGCGAGGUGAGAUAUCACUACAGCAGCCAAUGCCACGCAGACUCAUGGGGGUGUCUGCCCUUGGAUUCCCGGGGAGGCCUUUAAGAUGUGGAAGCCUUUCUUUAGCAGAUGCUAACUCUUGAAAUCAAAUGACAGACAAACACAUUUCAUCCUGAACUUAAGGCUUGGCUCAGAUGUAUGUUUUUGUUAGGACUUGUUUUGUUUGUGUUGGUUUUGCUUUUUUCCUUUUCCAAGCAUCAUCUGCUCUGUCUGCUGGGCUGGCACAGGACCACAAGCAGGGCUAUUUUAAAAAACUUUUUUUAACCUGCAGUGGAAAUGAUUGACUCCCAAUCUGUAGCAAUCCUAUAGCUGUCAGCAGUUCUGGAGAUUGCCUUCGGAGUGUGGUUGGCAGUGUACCAUUGCCAGUGACCAACAGUGUUAGACCAAGGCACCUGUCAAAGACUAAUGCUUUCAGGGUAGUCCCCUGGCUCUCAGAAAUGAAAGCAAAAAAAAGAGCAUUUGCAUGCCAGCAUUUUAUCUCAGAGCAAAGACUGCUUUUCCCUCAUGGGAUUUCACAUCUUCCUUUUUAUGAAACUGAAAGCCCCUCCAAACAUUUCCUUUGCUGUAACACACAAAAGAAGCCCCUGCAGAUGUUAAAAAACCCAGACCAUAAUGGAUCUGUCUUUUCUCUUUACUCAUCAGAGCUGUGGUGCUGCCACUGCCAGGGCAUGCACCCUUCCUUGGCGAACGAGGUCAGAUGGGGCUGCAUCCCCUAGCGCUGCCUGAGACUGUAGAGGGUGGCCGUGAAGCCACAGGGAGCUUCAGGAUCCAGCCAACAUCCUGGGAUGUGCAGUGGCAGCCCCAGGCUGUUCCUCUCAGGUUGAGAAGGGGCAGGCAUAUGGCUUGUCACGCUAAAAUCCAGGUACAACAUUUCUGCUGGUUAAAGAAAAGUCUCCGCAGCUCAUCCUGGGAGUGGUUCCCAGGCUACGAGUGCAAGUUCUCAGGAGACUUGUCAUUAUUUACAUCACACUCUUCUGCAAAGGAAGGCCCUUCCAUCCAGAAGCAACUUCUUCAGCAGAGAUGACUUCAUUUUACCUGCCACCUGUGGGGGAUAAUGCAAGUCUAAAGAGUGUGUCAGGAAUUUGUGCUGCCACAGCCCCAGCAGCUGAAGAGCCGUUAAAGUACCAAAGACACCAGGUGACACAGGCCAGGCUAUACCAGCCCCACCAGCCAUUCCCAAAGACCUGUUAAGGGUGAAACUGCCUCCGGCACCAAAAGGCACUUCUGCAGCUCACCUUUCUGGCUCACGCAAGAAACUCGUGCACAGCUGCCAGGAGAGGUUUUUGCAACAGCAAAAGGAAGGCAGGAUGGAGAGAGGAGGGGAAGGAGGCUGCCAGUGGCUGGGAAAGCUGGCAGCUCCAUGCAAGAGACUUUUGCUGUACGAAUCCUCGCAAGGGGCUGCAAUAAGAUCAGCAAAAUCUGGAAAAUGCAAGCAGGACUGUGCUGGGAAAUCCAGGAGGGAACAGCUUUGCUUGUCUUGUGCCUAAUGGAAAGCUGAAUGAAAUGCUCUACCUGUGUAUCAUGGCCUGCAAGCUGAAUGCUUGUGAAAUGGUGAUGUUAAAAUUAGAAGGGGGAAUAGCAAUGUAUCCCAAUAAGGAUGUGUAUUUAGAGAGUUACCACUCUGGUACCUUAUAAAAACACAGUAGUAGCCCUCCUCGUUUUAUAAUGGGACCAAUACGCUUUAAGGAGGACGAAGGGUCAACGUAUGACAGCGGAGUCACAAAGUUUACUUCCAAUAUCUACAUCAUGUGCCAAGAUGUUGUGACCUGCACCAGACAGUGUCAGGCACAAAUUACAUGAAGAUUAAUUGGACUUCCAUGGCCAAUAUCAACAUGAGGGGGCAGCCAGCGUGUCAGGUGCAAACAUUAGCCUAUGCAAACAGUAACCCACACACUCCAGGAUUCACACUGAGGCAUCAAGGGUUUCGAUUGCAAAACCCCUGCUGCAUAUACAAAUGGCAUGCAGAUGCACACUCACAAAUAAGCGUGCAUCUGUGUACCACAGGUAUGUCCUUUACACUGAGGGGGCCGUAAGCGCAUGCAUGCACGGGGCACGAACCAAACAAUCCUGAAAACUUCAUAAGCAUCAGUUACAUGAUGAAUUUCAACAUCACACUCCUUUUAUAUCAGGGUUGCAGGGAAAAGCCACACAACCAGCUUAGUUUUUCUUGCAAUGGAGCACAAGUCAGCAUUGCUAUCCAAGAACCCUGGUUGGCUCUGACUAAUGCCACAACAAAACCAGCAGACACAAGGAAAUAGGCGUACAGCAGCCAAGCCAUGGUCUCAGCCAGCACAAGCCCAGUUCUGCUGAAGCCACGGCAGACAAAAUGCCUCAUACGAGGCUGAGGAUCUGCCCCAGCACGCUUGGCAUAGAUCAAUAAAGUCUGCCAGACAGGCAGGCUCUUGCCUAGCCCACCUACCACCCUGCAGCUCUGGGGAGCAUGGAACCCGCUCCUAGUCCACGUUCAACAUUACACAGAGGGAUGCUCUGCACUGACACGCUUGUCAUACAGAAACCUGCCAUUACCUCAAAUGCUAUUUAGAUUAUGGCAGUGUAAGCAACAGCUAUAGGAAGGGCACAAGCGGGCUAGAGGAGGCAAUAACCAUCACCUUCAUUUUGGGCACGCUGCAGUAAGCAAGAUCUGUAUCUUUAUUGUAAUUACAAAUCUAGUGGCUGUUUGUGUGAUGUGAAGGGCAGUAGAAAAAUUAAAUGCCAAUAUAAUAUCUGCACUGGCCUCCAGGGGGAAGGGAGUUAUAUAACUAAUGAUCUUUUCACUGUUCAAGAGUUUCCACAUGCUAGCAGAAGACGGGUGCCAGAUGCCAUCUUUUUCUAAGAGUCUCAUUUCACUGGAGUUAUUAUUUCCUUAGUAUUAUGCAGUUACCCACAGAGAAAGAUAACUUUGGCUCUUCUGUCAUGCUCUGCCGUAUUUUGGAUAUAGAUACUUGACAAGGAAAAGAGAACGGCAGAAACACAUUUAAGAGGAAUUCUGUGUAAGUACAGGCUUCAGAACUGGACCCAUAAUUUUAAUACACAAAGCACACUUGGAACAACAGCCACGUAUGACUUGAGCGGUACACUUGAGUUAAUGAAGCCUUUAAUCUACAGCACUGCCUGCAGAAGUGAUCAGCUGUAACUCCUUAAUGCAACCGCGCUGGGGCUGGGAAGAAUGUUAGUGAAGCCCGGACUUUCUAGCCCCUGGUUUCAGGGGCUGUCAGAGCUGUCAGAGGGGCUGUUUAGCCUGUCAGAGCAACAGCUACAAUAGCAAAGGAUAAUAAUGUCAUUGCAAAAAUGCUCAAGUUCAGCCUUAAAAAUAUAAAUUAUGGCACACCAAUAUGCCCGGACUCUUGCUAGCAUAAACCAGCACAAGCUGUAGCUCAGUAGGGCCAAAGCUUUUAGGCUCCUCCCAAAAGGUGUGACUCGCAUAAACGUUACUGAAAUCCUGCUAAGCUUACCUGAGGUGAUGCCUCCCCCCCCUUAUUUCAUUGAUUGCAGAGCGUAGAGAUCUCUUCUAUAAUUCAUUUAAACAAGCUUGGUUUUUUAUACAAGUGCCAUAUUUUCAUAACUGUUGAUGUGGUAUAUAAAUGUGCAUGUUUAUAAGCCUCCUGUGUAAUAAAAUCCCAGUUUAUGAGGCAUUUAAGUAAUGGGAAAAAUACAAUGAAAGCAACAACGUUGGGUAUAAACAAAGAGAACAAUUAAAACAUACUUCUAUACUGUAAGAGUUAGUUCUUAGAUGGUUACUAAUGCUUUAUUCCUUAAUGCAGAAAUAACAUCCUAUAUUCAAGAAGGAAAAAGUUGAAAUAGUUCAAGGUGUGAUCUGGCUUUCUUGUUUUUGUAUGCAGUUUGGCUUUCUGUAAUCAUCUGGAUCGGUAGGGUUUGGCCCUUCUUCAGAAGCUCCAAUGUAUGAACAGCCACCCAAUUUUCCAUCCCUAUUCAGUAUUUUGCUGGUGAAUACCUUUCCAGAGCAUACUUUGCUUUUUUGGGGGCAUCCGGUUUUUUAAGUGACCUUCAUGCUCCUCCACAGUGACACCCUACUUUCACCCAGGGGCUGACAGGGGCUGCUCCCAGCAGGGCACCGUGCAGGGGGAAAGCAACAAGGGCUUGACUUGCUUGAUGCAGCCAAAACAAUGUUUUCUUCCCCAGUCCAGCUAUCUCCAGUUAAAGAUGCAAGUAUGUCAGAGAACAAAAGGGAAAGGAUGGGGAUUGUUAACAAAUGGCUUCUGGGCAAAAUCUGUCCCAAACAGGGCUGUGCUAGGUCAUGCAAGUCGGUACAGACAGGAUGUUGUAGGGAUGAUUGUAGGGAUGAAGCCCACAAUUCAUCUUGCCCAAAAGGACAGCAAUAUCAUCUAUAAACUGCCCCCAGAAGAGACCUAUUUCAGCCUCUCGAUGUCUUUAUUUUUCCCAUGCCCAGAUUUCUUCAAGGUGAUGUGUGAAGCUCUAUGCUUAGUUUAGCCCUAACUUUAUUUAAGGGGAAAACAGGGUCCCUCUGAGCAUUACGUAAGUACUAGAAUGACUGAACAUCUCCAGGCUCAUCUGCUCUGCACUUGCAGCCCCUGCAAUCAUGACGUCUGCUGGGCAGAGAGGUCUUUAGGGCAAGGCAAUCUCCUACGGCCCAAUGCUCCAAUGCUGAAACCUGCUUACCUACUACUGGAAAAAAACAACAACAACAACAACAGAAGAAAAAUUACUAACAAGGCAGUCUCAGGGCAGACUUUUAUUAAGAUGAGACCAAUGACAACUGAAUAAGAGGAGAAUUAAACCUCACAUAUCCGUGAAGGAAAUGUGCCACUUAUUAGUACUGCUCUCCAACCCCAGGUUCUUACCCUACCCACCUUUAUGCAGAAAUUGCAGCUCUUAAUCAGAGCAAUAUCAGGAAUAACAUUUUUUAAGCAGGAUGCUCCUGCUUGCCUAGCAGAAUAAGCAGCAAAAGCUUCCCUCCAAGGUGACUUCCAACUGGAGCAAGCAUUGCUCACCAGCUGGAGCAGGACCGGCAGACAAAUGCAUCUUUGCUGCCACAGCCCAGUUCCGUCCAGGUCUGGACUCCAGCGUCAGCAGGACCCCAGAGCAUUAUCCCCGCCGAGUACCUGGCAAAAUACAUUAAAAGGUAUUUUGGCACCACGCUCAUUCAUCCAGGGGCACUGGCUCCCCUUAUCACAUCUGCAUCGUGCAGCACCAGAGAACAGCUCGGCUAGCUCUGCACAGCGCUGCAGUCUCCCCGUGUGCAUGGGGCAGACAUGCCAAGCCCCCAGGGCACGAUGCACACCUGGCAGCUGGCACUAACAAGCAGUCCUACCCGCGCUACCUCCCUGGCUUCCUCUCCCUUUGUGUCUCCUUGCAUGGUUUCUUCCAGCUAUCAGCUGUGCAGCAGCUCUGGAGCUCAGUGUUUUAAGUAAUCUGUCACAUUUCCUACAAGAGUGUCUUAGAGAGGCUGAUGCAGGAGAUCAGGUUGUGCCUAAGUAGCGCGGGCCAUCUGCUGCAGUUAUAUACAAAGGCCAUAGCUUUGAAAACUGGAAACAAAACCAUGUCACUCUCAGCUGCGCUCUUCUAGCGUCUUCCCUGUUGAGGCUGAUGCUGCAGGACACUAGGAGAGAACAUGCAUUGUAGACAAAUCAAUUCAGCUAGCUAACUUGAUUAUGCCUCAGGUGCUGCCCCCACAGACUGUGCCCCCAUCACAUGCCGUAGCAGAGAUAGCCAUGCUAUCACCUGAUCAUGCCAACACCUGAUCAAUCUAUGCAGCAAAAGGCAGUGCGGUACGGAGAUAAGCCCUGGGCCCCAGGGGUAGCACCUAGCUGCGGUCAGACUGAUCACCCACUGCUGUUCCCUUCAGCAAGCGACCUGCUGGAGGGAGCCCACCGGCUCUGCAGCCACCCCACUUCUCACCCCACGCAUGCUCCUGGGCGCUGUGCAGUGCUGCACAACGCCAUCAUGGCCUGCCCUGGGUGGGCUGUAGCACAGUCGAUGGCACAGCAGCACCGUGUGCUCCUUCGAGACAAGAGCGAUGUGAAAAACAGCUAAAGGUGAUGCGCAAAGAACAGCUCCUUGACAGACUGAAGGCUGGCAGCACUUUUUUUGUGAUCUCUCUGGAGGAUCAGACUAGCAUUUGCCAAAGCCCUCCCCUUCUACCUCUACAGCUGUGGUAAACAGCUGCAGCUCUGGUCACAGCUCCCAGUGUCAUCAUCCCUCCAGCAAUCUGCAGCUUCACGCCUGUGUUAGUUGCCUUUGGUGAAGCAAAGAGUUGGCAUGUCAGGGACAGAACCGGAGCAGAACUGUGUGUUGCUGCAUGUCAGAAGAGCAAGUAAAGAAAGCACUUUUUCAUCUCCCAUUCCAAGUUAUGUUCCUGAAGUGUAGUUCCUGGUAUAAUUCCUGAAUUGCGUACACCCUUUCCCAGCACAUAUCCAUGCUUUAAUCAUUUGCCCUUCUCAAAGCCUAGGUGAAAUAUAUGCUCCAGGACCACCCCGAAUAACCAGCCUUAAAAGCCAAGUGCUGUCCCCUUUGAAUUAUGGAACAAACUCUGCCAGUUUUUAGCCAUUCCAGUAUUGUCCCAGGGCAGCAUUUCAUUUCCAAGGUACAAGUACACAGUUCACUGUAACCAAAAGCAUUACUUAGAUUAAUUUAGCUUAUGGCACAGAAGCACAAAGAUAUCAAGCCUCUUCAGUUAUUUUUGAAAAGCAUGAGGAAAAAAUAAAAAGUAUUUUGGCCUUACAAUGGUGUAAUGUACAAGCUACUUCCCUCUGUCUCUAAAGAUAAAAAUCACCCCCAGGCUGCUGAUGAACUUACCAGGUACAUGUUAAUGAGUGGGGAAAAUUCAUCUGAAGUAUCAGACAAUACAAGCUGCUGUGCAGGGCUGGCAAAGAAAUUUGAAAGUUUUGAACCUUGGCUUUCUGAGUUAGGGAGGGGGGAAAAAUGCGAUUUCUACCUGUGAGAGAAAAUGCAGCGGAGUGGCUGUGAUCUGUGCAAGCCAUUAACCGAAAUACAACAAAACAGGAUGACAGCAGGUCCGCAGGGACUCAGAACACCACCAGUAGGUGUUCAGCGCUGCAGUGAAAGCACCAGGCAACUUUCCUACCAACAGCUAUUCUUACAGCACACAGUGGGCUGCUGGCGUACUCAGCCAAAUCCCUCGCUUUCUAGAAACAGGAACAUGCGAAGCAGCGUGUCUAACAGCACAGCUUAUCUGCUGUUCGGGUUGAAAGCAUUCUGUCUCCUUCCAGCACAGAAGCAUCUCCCCUUCACCUGCAGGGCCAAGACCUGGUACUGCCAGUGCAGCCUGGCACAAGCCGCAGCUCCCUCAGCUCCUAGCUUUUGCUCCGUCGCGUCACAUAUUCACGUCCUCUGCCAAAGGACAGCGCUGAGUUGCUGCCUUAUUGCCGGUUACGUUAAUUAAGCUUCAUGACUCCCCCGUGAGACAGGCAGGUGACACCAUCCCCGUCUCAUGUCCGUUGGAUGGUGGAAGUGGCUCACCAGGGCGACCAGGUGUCGGCGGGAGCUCUGUCACCCAGCAGGAAGGGCUGCGGGACGCGGUGGCCUCCAGAAGCAGGGACGGGCACCAGAAGGCUGCUUCCAGCCCAGGUCCCUGUCCCUCGGCCACAGACUGAGCAACAGAAACCAACUGUCACAGAAACCAACUGUCACAGCGGCCAGCACCAGCGUUGGCCUGAGCUGUCACCUGAACAGCAGAGCGCUCUGCGGGUCAUAACUGUGUGUGAGGGCCGGAGGGAGCGCAGCACGGCGGCCACGAAGGCGAUGCUGAGCGAGGAAGCGGCGGAGCAACAGCAGGAGAAAGCUGGGGUGAGCGUGCGGCUCCACGGGGCCCCGGCUCUCGCCUCAGCACCCCACGGCUGGGGCAGGUGGACGAGCCCGGCGGUGCCACGGUGGACUCGAGCAGCACCACUCUAAGCAGACGCGCUGCACACGAAGCAGAUAUCCAUUUUUUUCCCCCUCCCCCGACAACAACAACAAAAUGGGAGCUGAGGGCGAGACGAAAAGCCGCCCGGGGCGGGAAGGAGGCGCACCUCUGGAGCCACAGCUGCCGGCGGGGCGGGCCGGGGGCGCAACAUGGCGGCGGGGGGCGCGAUCCCGCCAGCGGCUGGCGGCCCCGUGAGGGGCACGGCACGGAGCCCACGGCACGGCACAGAGCCCACGGCACGGAGCCCCCGCCUCGGCAGCCGGUACUGCCUUGUUCCUGCCUGUGUUUCCAGCUACUGUCAUGUAAGCCAUUCCUGCCGUAUCACUUCCUGCAUGUGGGGGUAUUUGCAUGAGCUGAACUGUUCCUGGCUGGCCACCUUCAUUGUGCAAUUGUACAAAUACCGGUGCCAGCACAAAUAAGGGAUGAUGGAAAAGCCAGUGCUGCAGGCAGACCAGGUUUCUUCUCUCAGCAACUCUUCUAGCUUAGGCUGUCCUCAAAUGCAUGUGGGACACCUGCUCCAGGAAAAGCUUGAUGAACCACAGCAAAUGUAAAACCCCACGAGAUUAUUAUUCAGACUCUGCUGCCAUUCUGCACAGAUCCUAGCACUGGCCUGCUCCUCCUUGUACUGCACUUGGCUUAAUUUCUGUGUGCUGCAUGCUUUUUAAAUAUUCACAUGGCACUAUCUGGAGGAGAAAUGAGUCUAUAACACCGAAUCAUCUCCUGCUGAGCCCCACUGAAUCAUCACAACCUUGGACAAUUGAUCAACUGAUUUUGUGUUAUUUAUGUUACCCUAAAGGCUACAUUUCAUAAUUUGAAAUGUAUGGAUUGGAAAAGCUGACAACUCAUUCUGCUCAACCUGUUUAGUAACACUGCACUUGUUUGAAAGGCUUACUUUCAAGGGAGGGAAUAUAUCCAACUUGCAGAGACCAACUUCCUUUGCAGCUACAGUGAAUAAAAAGUCUUCAAAAUAUUUAGAAACUGAUUUAAGCUAACAAAGUCAAGGAAAUAAGUGUUAAAGCUCAAACUCCUGCUUGAUGGUCUAUUUGUAGUUCAUCCAGUGGUAAUGAGCCAGAUUCUUGCCUAGAAUAAAUGGGCAUAAAGCCACUUAAGCCAUGCAAGAAUGUUGAUUUAUGCUUGCUACAAAUCUGACCUUUAUUUCAGUAUUUCAUGGUAAGCUCCAAUCCUCUUUACACUGCUCAUUUUUUGGAAUGGAAUUAGAUUUACCAAGGUAUGCUCAGACAAAAUGGAUUGCUUUUCCCUUAAAUUUUUGUGCCAGGGAUAAAAUUGUGGUCUAUUUCAAUGGAAAACUGUUAAUAAAGUAGCUUUGUUGAAGAAAAGUCAGAAGUGAUAGCCUCAUUCAUUUCAACACUACAAGUUAUUUAUUUCUCAAAGCUACACUGAAAGAGUACAAUAUGCUCCACAAAUUACAAAGUCCUUCCAGGAAAUCUGAGAUGCAUCUGAAGAAUGGAGGUUGAAAGAAGUUUAGCUAGCAAACAGUUGCAUAAAAACUUAAAUAUAUGAAGGCAAAUUAUUUGCUGAAGGUGUGCUGGAAUGAAAAUACUCUUUUGUUUGCUUAACUGAAACUACAUUGCUCCAAAUGACCUUACAUUCUUUAUUUCUAAGUCCACGACCCCUGCACUGAGGUUCAGCACACUGCAAGAUGCCAGACUUACCGGAAUAUGCUAAUCAAGAACUUAUUUUAUUAGUUUUAAAUAUAACACUCUUGAUUUUUGACUAUAGUAGCUGCCUGGUAAAUACAACUUAUCACUGAGGAGAGCCAUGCUGAGAAAACUGCGUGUGAGAUUAUACUACUGUAAAGUGCUCAAUAUGGGGGCGAACUCAGAAGACAGAGCUCAUGCAGGAGGCAGCAGCCUGUUUGCUAAAUUCUUUUUCACACAGGUAACAUCUUAUGCUGCUGUUUUCAGUCUGCACUAGUUUCCUGUUGAUGUUUGAAGAGCUCAUUUGCAGUGAAUUGUUUUCAGCCUGGCCACCAGAUGAAGAACUUCUCUAACAUGACAGUACAUAGGGAUUUGACAGAGAAACGUUAAGGUUGGUAUGGAUGAGGCACGAAUGGCAAUGUGCAGAUGCGAAAUCAUCAAGAAACAUCAAGAAAGGAAAAAGGACAAGCACGGGCAGAUGUGCCAAAAUCAGCAGGACACUGAGAUCGCAGCACACACUGCGCAGAUUCUCGAGGCACCUGAAUCUUGUUUAAAUCUCUAUCUGCAAGGUUUAAUCUCUGCAGAUUCUCAAGGCACCUGGAUCUGGCAAACCUCAGGAGGCAGCUUGACUCCAGCCCUGUCCUCUAGGUGGACCUUGGACCUGUACUGUAGUUUUGUCUUCAGCCCCAUGGUGGGGGCAGCAGGUAGACCUUGGGCCUAUGUAGCAGUUCUGUUUCAAACUUUGUCUCUGGUCCCAUCUCCUGCUGCUCCUAUAUGGACCCUGGACUUGAUCCACUAACUUGCCUUGUUUGGACCCUGGACCUGGUUCAUUAAUUUGCCCUGUUUGGGCCCAUUGAUGGACCCUGUUAUCAGUACCCAGCUCUGAGGGACUGUGCCCAGCUGGUGAAGGCACUGCCCAUGCUGGAUCACCACCGGCUCCUGGCUUGUACCAGAGGGGUCCUGGCCAGGCGACGUGGCCACACGCAUCUCCGUCAUUAUGCAUGAGAAAGAAAGAGUGAGAUCCAUCUGUGAGAGAACCUAUGAGUAAAAUCAGUUUAAAAUGAAACAAACUUCCCUCUCUAGGUGGUUUUGCAUUGCACUUUGCUACAUUAGCCAAACAUAAGCAACGGAAACAACAAAAUACUUUGAUCUGAUUGAGAGGUGCAGGUGUGUUGUACCCUCAAUUUUGGAGUUUGUUCCCUGAUAACAUGCAAAAGAGAUUGGAUUUGAUAAUGAUGGAGGGCAGGGGGACUUGAUAAACUGGACACGAGUUUCUCUGAGGCAGGGAGAGGCUGAGAUGAAGAGGUGCAAUAGCUAGAUAGGGGUAGAGUUUCAAGAAGCAGUUCAUUUUAGGUUGCUUUCAUUUGGCAUCUUAUUAUAUUUUUGUUUUCACGUAUAAUAUAAUAGUGAUCUGUAAAAACAGCCAGGAGCCUAACUUUCAGAAACGCCGUGGUCCCAAAAACUGACGUAGAUCUUCCAGUCAGGAUCUCAGCACUGUUUAGGAAAUAAAUCCAAAUAUUUCAGUUGUAAAGAAGAUGCUUUGGCUCCAGAACAAUAUGAGAAAAAUGUACAAUCCAUUUGAUCUGCUUCAGAUGCCACAACCAUCUGCAACUGCUUGUGGCAAACACACAUUUCUCAGAUUCACAGGCAUGUAUGAUUGCAAAGAGCAUUGAAUACUUUCAGUAAAAUAAAUAAACCUUUAGUAUGCUCUUUUUGUUAUUUACUUCUCUC